ensembl:lncRNA
AACUGAGUCUCUCGUCAUUGAAAACAUCCGAAGUUCUUCAAAGAAUCCGCAGGAGGAGUCCAGGCCGCCGAAUCAGCUGGAGGAGUCCAGGCCGCCGAAUCAGCUGGAGGAGUCCAGGCCGCCGAAUCAGCUGGAGGAGUCCAGGCCGCCGAAUCAGCUGGAGGAGUCCAGGCCGCCGAAUCAGCUGGAGGAGUCCAGGCUGUUGAAUCAGCAGGAGGAGUCCAGGCUGUUGAAUUAGCAGGAGGAGUCCAGGCUGUUGAAUUAGCAGGAGGAGUCCAGGCUGUUGAAUCAGCAGGAGGAGUCCAGGCUGUUGCUGCUCAGGAUAGUUACUAUUACAGUCAGUUCUACAGCUUAAUCAUUCAACUUUAUUUCCAUGGUUCUGAAUACAUUAUCAUAACAACAGCCAGGGAUCUGCAUAGUUGUGUUUAUUCAAGUGUGUGUGUGUGUGUGCUGUCUACACGUGUUCAUUGUUGAGGAAAUAACAUAGUAGACUUAUCUCAGGUAGGUAGGAUUACACACACACACACAUGUUGAGUUUACGUCCACGUGUGUGUGUGACUGAGGAGAAGUGUUUUGCUCUGCGUUGGGCAGAAUAGGAUGUAUUCCUUUAUGUCUGUGAGUACUGGUUUAUCGAUGCUACGUGACUGUUUUAGAGGAGCAGGGUUGAAUGAGUUCACAAAGCUGUUAGCUCAAGUUCUCUGUGUCCCUCCCUCCCACUCUCUUUCCACACUGUAAACACUCCCCCCCCCCUCUCUACAUCUCCCCCUCGCUCUCUCAAUUUUUCAAUUCAAUUUCAGGGGCUUGUGGCAACAGGUCACAAAUCUUGCUGUCGUGAUGGCACACUGUGGUACUUCACCCAGUAGAUAUGGGAGUUCAUCAAAAUUGGGUUUGUUUUCAAAUUCUUUUGCUGGUCUGUGUAAUCUGAGGUAAAUAUGUGUCUCUAAUAUGGUC